GAUGGCGGCCAUAGUCCAGAGGGCUCACCUGAUCUCGGCCGAACUCAGAAGUUAAGCCUCUGCGACGUUUGAGGAGAUGUGCGUUGCGCGAGCGCGUGACAGGCCUCAAAGCUGCCACUU
rnacentral:rRNA from 1 species